UGUCUUAUAUUCAAUUAUGAUUCUAUAUUGCAAAUAUAGAGGUGCAUUAUUUGCUAAGGCUU
rnacentral:tRNA from 1 species